GGUGGUGCUCUGGGGCAGGUACCCCAUUCACUGGAGGCCCCAGCAUUACAGGGAUGAAUUAUUUCCAAAUACUUCUCAUUUCCUUUUUGACCCAACGAAUUGGAAGUACCUUGAAAAGCUGUAGUUAACAUAAAGGAAAUUAAAAUCUCAUGCCUAUGGGUAUAAGAUUUUUAUACCCUUAAAUCAAGGAGAGAGAGAGAGGAAAAAAAGGAAAUAUUUUUCAAAUAAUCCAUACAGGAUUUCCCUCUUAUAGCCAAAACAAAUAGCACGUGUUUUAUAAGCAAUCACCUGCAUAUGCAUGUAGUGACUUUAUCUCACAUAUAAUUUAGAAGGCACCAUUAGAUGUCAAAAACAAGAUUCAGCUCUUAUUAGCCCAAGAAGUUGAAAUUAAUUAAGGGUCUGAAGAUACAGUGGUGAAUAACAGAGAAAAAUGUUUGUCUUUAUGGAGCUUCUGUUCAGGCCAGAAGAAGCCGUGGGAGGAAAUAAAGUUCCUGGAGGCCAGGACAACCUAGAGCCAGGAGCUGUGCUGUUACUCAGUAGGAGAG